CACGUAGGGCGCAAGCGUUGUCCGGAAUUAUUGGGCGUAAAGAGCUCGUAGGCGGUCUGUUGCGUCCGCUGUGAAAACUCGGGGCUUAACCCCGGGCCUGCAGUGGGUACGGGCAGACUAGAGUGCGGUAGGGGAGACUGGAAUUCCUGGUGUAGCGGUGAAAUGCGUAGAUAUCUGGAGGAACACCGGUGGCGAAGGCGGCAUCCUGGACCAACACUGACGCUGAGGAGCGAAAGCCAGGGGAGCAAACGGG
rnacentral:rRNA from 1 species